CGUACCAUAGCUCAGUCGGUAGUAGCGUGGGAUUCAUAACCCCAAGGUCGUGAGUUCGAGCCUCACUGGUCCCA
rfam:Fonticula alba strain ATCC 38817 unplaced genomic scaffold supercont2.3, whole genome shotgun sequence.